rnacentral:rRNA from 1 species
AGUGAACGCUGGCGGUAGGCCUAACACAUGCAAGUCGAACGGCAGCACAGUAAGAGCUUGCUCUUACGGGUGGCGAGUGGCGGACGGGUGAGGAAUACAUCGGAAUCUACUUUUUCGUGGGGGAUAACGUAGGAAAACUUACGCUAAUACCGCAUACGACCUACGGGUGAAAGCAGGGGAUCUUCGGACCUUGCGCGAUUGAAUGAGCCGAUGUCGGAUUAGCUAGUUGGCGGGGUAAAGGCCCACCAAGGCGACGAUCCGUAGCUGGUCUGAGAGGAUGAUCAGCCACACUGGAACUGAGACACGGUCCAGACUCCUACGGGAGGCAGCAGUGGGGAAUAUUGGACAAAGGGCGCAAGCCUGAUCCAGCCAUACCGCGUGGGUGAAGAAGGCCUUCGGGUUGUAAAGCCCUUUUGUUGGGAAAGAAAAGCAGCAGGUUAAUACCCCGCUGCUCUGACGGUACCCAAAGAAUAAGCACCGGCUAACUUCGUG